UUCCACUAUACCAUUUAGUUUGAACGCACGGCGAUUAAAUGUUUCUAGAGAAUUCUGAUGCAAAGGGUUAGUUCAAAAAUGUUAUUGAAUUGCUUACCAUGUUUUUAAUGGUCUAAAAUUUAUUUCUAAUCAAUUUUAUUGAUCAAUAUCCACUUGUAAACGAGAU